GAGAGAGAGAGAGAGCGCUGCUUCUUCUUCCAGCGAUCCAUUCCUCCCCCCAGUAAGGCCUGGACCUUCGUCCGAGCUACUGCUUAUAGUGAGGAAGCAGAUUGGAGGACUUCUACCCCCUUCGAAACCAACCUUUUAAAAAAAAAAAAAGGGGUGUUAAACCCCUGCGGUGUCUUGUGUAGUGUGUCUGUGUAUCCCCCAACGUUACGCCAUGCCAUCGACACGUCCCCAGUGACGUGCCGUGUCGGGGUGACGUGUCCCACGGACGUGUAUACCUGCGAAAUGAAAGCCGUGGGUCUACCUGGAGGGGUGAAAUACUUCGACGGGGGGAACGAGAUGACGAUGUUUUAGGGCGUCGCUUUCGGUAGAGCUGCCUUUGGGUGUCUACCGCCGCCCCCGCCCCUGACGAAGAAGGCUAAUGCGGCCCAAGGGCGUUCGUCUUCUCUUCCUGCAGCAGGUGGUUCUCCCGAGGGCGUGAAGGGAAAAUAAAGGUGGUUUACCUUCAGGUUUUCGUCGCUGGAAAUACGACACCCUCCUGGAAGAGAGGAAGAGAGCAAGCGAAUCCUAUACUACACCUCUCCGCAAGGUUCCAGCCAGUCUGGAACCAGUCUGGAAACCGUGGGAUUGGAUUAGGAAACUGGAAAAAAAAUGAUAUCCAGAAUAAUGACUGAUUCCCAGAUGUCCUUCAUUUUGAGCUCGGGUUAUGCUCGAUGAUGCCUCCUGGAAUCGAAAAAAUUCCAGGUAUUCCAGGGGUUUAAACUGGAGUGGAGAUGGGAUUUACUUUGAUUGGUAAAGGUGCAAUAGAGAUGGCGUAGUUUCCUCAGGUUUUAACCUCCAUUUUACGCUUAGAAUUUGAAAAGCCUCUAUACGCUUCAAAGUGGCCAUAGGUCUAUAUAGUCUUUCUCGGAUGAAUGACGUGAGGGUCAAAUGUAAACAAACUGUUCGAAUCGCUUGUUGAAAUCGUAAAUUCCAGAUUUGAAAUCGAUUUAAAAGUGAUGUAAAUCGUAUGAAUAUAUUUUAAAAACAUUUGAAAUAUGAUUGAUCUUAUUAUUUCAACUAAAUAGUGAAGUAAAUACGCGGAACGAACGAAUAAAUAUAUUUUUUCCGGUGCGAAAACCAGACCAAGUCAUCGGCCAUGAGUUCGGACGACUUCAACGACGACGACGUGUUCCUCUCGCCCUCGGCGGAGGUAGGGCGUGAAAUGUGCGUGGGCGGCGGUGCCACCCACGUCGUUAACGGGUCACGCCCUUCCUCUGGGUAUUAUUCCCGGCAGACGAGUGGGUAUACGGCCAGUCAGGAUACCCCCCCAACUUCCGCAGCUUUAAGAGUGGACGAGAGUGGUAAUGAGAGACAGCGUACCCCCAGCCCACCACCGGGUACAGGGGCCCCGUGCCCGCGGGACCGGCCAUACCCCCCUCCCCCGAAGAAGACGACAUCAUACACAAAACAAUCUUGCUCGGUGACUCCGGAGUUGGGAAGACAUCGCUGUUGGUUCAGUUUGAUACGGGCAAGUUCCAACCGGGUACUUUCUCAGCCACCGUGGGCAUUGGAUUCACG